UUUUUUUUUUUUUUUUUUUAGACAGAGUCUCGUUCUGUCACCCAGGCUGGAGUGCAGAGGUACAAUCUCAGCUCACUGCAACCUCCACCUCCUGGGUUCAAGUGAUUCUCCUGCCUCAGCCUCCCGAGUAGCUGGGAUUACAGGCAUAUGCCACCACUCCUGGCUAAUUUUUGUAUUUGUAGUAGAGAUGGAGUUUUGCUAUGUAGGCUGGUCUCGAACUCCUGACCUCAGGUGAUCCGCCUGCCUCAGCCUCCCUAAGUGCUGGGAUUACAGAUGUGAGCCACCACGCCUGGGCUAAUGUCACCAUCAUUUGAGACAGGUGAAUGCAGUACAGCAGAAUUGCAAAGAAACUUGCCUUGUCCUCAGGACCGCUCCUGCGAAUGCCUGGGCCUAUAGACCUCUUGCUCCCGUCCCUGGAGGAAUUUUGAGUAGGUCUCAUAAUUUUCAUAAUUUUUCUUGUCACUUUUACAUCAUAAAAUAUUAUCUUGCCACUUUUAGUCAUUACAAAUUAUCAUUUUAGUAAUUAAAUGCCUGGCCCGGUAUAAUAGCAAAAGUAGUGAAACCAAGGGACUCCCCUCUCCAGUUCAGAUCCGCAGGGGGGGAAGGGGCUAGGGUUUCUCCUUGCCGGCUCUCCAUCAUCCGCCCCCUGCGACGCCCGGCAUCUGAUCCUCCUCUCCUCCAUCAAAAUGUGGCUAUAGCCAAGCCUGUUUCCAAUAACUUCUUUCCAGGCUGUUAUUUGGAUUGCUUUCCAAAACAUUCCUAAGAAAGAACACGUUGCAUGCUGCAUAUUCUCAGGGAUUUUGCUUUGCUGGGGAGAGGAGCAGGAGGUUCAGGUGGCGUGGGCAUAUUCUUAUCAGUGUCUGGGACUGAACCUCCCAUGUCUUCUGAGAUGGACAUUUGCAGAGUUCUUACUGAGAACCCCCAGUAUAGUUCAGCAGUGCUUGGACCACCUAAGCUGGAGAGCCCAGCACUCCCUCCCUCUCCUCCUGCCUUGCUUACUGUUGUGUUCCAAGUUCCUCCAAGAGACGUGUUUCGGUUGUGCAGGUUCACUCACACCCAGUAUGGCUCACACCUGGUGGGCAGAGCUCGGCCUAGGCAUGAGCUGGACCUGCUUAAAGCCAGUCUUCUGGGCUUGUUGUAGAGGGAUGGAGUUACAGAAAUUACCAGGGCAGAGGCACUAGGGGGUUUGGGGUGUGAGGUGGGGUAGAGAAGUGAAAGGAUCACUUGAGCCCAGGAGUUCGAGGCUACAGUGAGCUGAGAUCACACCACUGCACUUCAGCCAGGGCAACAGAGCAAGAUCCUGUCUCAAAACAAACAAACAAACAGACAAACAAAAACAGAAGUUGGUGU
rnacentral:lncRNA from 1 species